UCUCUCUCUCUCAUAUUCAUUCAAAACGACUGACUAAAUUAUUCUAAGAGGUAGAAAGAGAGAUCUAUGCUUUCUCGAAGAUUCAAAACGACUGACUAAAUUUGGCCUUGCAAGGGUCAUCAAUCCAGUUAAGACUUUUGUAAAGUCAAAUUAUCAUUUUGGCGGUAAGGGUCAUUAAUUUACGGUAAAAGAAAAAAAAAGUAUUAAUCACUUCUCCAAUUAUUUGGACGCAAAACAUUUUGUUAUUUACGGAAAAAAUAUAUAUAUAUAUUUUGUUACACAAGAUAUUAUUAUUAUUAUUAUUUGAGUAAAUUACUCUGACCCUAAGGUUUGACUUAAUUACUCUCGUAAUAAAGUUUUUGCAAAGUUACUCGGAUACCCUUGUCAGACUAAUAGUCUGUUGCAUGAACUAGCAUUGUGUGUGCAUCUACUGCCCUCAACUUAUCAAUAUUAAUUACUCAAAUAUUAAUUACUCAAAUAUUCCUAAAUUUAAUAUAAUAUAAUAUUAUAUUUUUGUGAAUGCAAAUUGGGACACAUAGUUAAUCAAUGAAAUCGUGAUUUAUGAAUUGAUUACUAAUUUGCUUUAUUUGUUCAUUUAUAGCCAUGAGUCUUUUAAAUACUUACUUUUGUACACUAGUUCAACUCUAAGAUAAUUGAUUGAAACCAAUGUAAUGUUGACUAGGUUACAUUGUAUGAAUAGCUGACCAAAAAGGUACUUAUGUUUAUAUAUAUUUCUACAGAAGAAGCAAAGAAAAGAAAAAAAGAUAUAAAAAAAAUGUACAUGUUGCUGAAAAUCUAUGUAAGAAAUAAAUGCUACUACGUUUAUAUAUAUAUUUCAACAGAAAAACCAAAUAAAAGAAAAAAAGAUAUAAAAAAAAAUGUAUAUGUUGCUGAAAAUCUAUUUAAGAAAUAAAUGCUACAUAUGGGAUGUGUUCCAAGCUACCAAGGAAACAUGAAGUUGUCUCAGGAAUCAGUGAAAGGCACCUUACUUAGAGCUGAAAAGAAUAGAAAUUCAAUUUUUAUUUUAGUUGUUCAUAUUUUGCUUCUAAUGCUAAUUACCCAACAUGUGUUUUAACCAAAUGAUUAAAGAAAUUUGAUUAGCUGUUGAUGGCGUUGAAUUGCGCGCGCACAUGCAUGGACUUAUUAGAUAAAUUUCUAAAUAUUUAUAAAUAUUGUGUCACACACCGAAUUCUAAGGACCCCGUGCAUAAGUGAAAUGAAAAUAAACCGGAUCCGAAGAAGACACUAUACCAACCCCUAUGACCAAAAUGGUCAUGGAUGACAUGUCAACCAUGUCACAACAAAAUCCCUUAAACCACACGAGUAAGGACGAAAUGAAUGGUGAAUGAAUGCGAGUAGUCAUAUGCCCUAUCUAGCUCAUUGUGAUAACCGUGUUAUCUUUUCUUUUUUUUGAGAUAAUAUUUUAAUUAUUUUAUUAUUUUUAUUAUUUAUUAUAAUUAUUUUAAAUAUUAUUUAAUUAUAAUUAUUUAUUUUUAAUUUAUUACUUAUUUUUAUUUUGUUUCUUAUUACCUAUGGGUUUUGGAAGACCCGAGGUAAUUAGUGUCCUGGAUUUACUUCCGACACUUCAUGCAUUUAAUUUAGUUUAUUUUAUCCUUAAUGUAUAAUUUAAUUGUAUAACAAUGCAUGCUUAUAAUAUUAUGCUUUUGUAGGGGUGUAUAUACUUUAUUUCUUCUGGGUCGACAUUUUCAUUUUUGGGGUUUUUUGUGCUAUUAUCUUUUGGAGAUAUUUUGUUUAGGGACCUUAGUGUAAAUAUCUUUUGGAAAUAUUUCAUAGGUAGACUUUUGUGCGAAUUGGAGAAGUUGUACAAAAUGUCAUAUUUGGAUUGGACCAAGUGUUAGCCUUUAAGUGGGACAUGUGGUGAGGUGAUGAGGACAAGUGGAGGGCUAGGAUUGUUGGGUGUGUGUGGGAGGUAGUGCAAGACAUGUUUAAGUAAUAUAUAUCUCCUUUGGUCUUCCAUCUUUUUCUAAACUUCAUAUUUCUCCUCUCAUUUUCUCUCUCCAACCUCCAUUGAUACACACCUUAGAACUUAGUUUUACCUACCUGCCUCUCACCUUUCGGCUUUACCAUAGAAGGAGAAAAUAGGAGAAAAGUUUGCUUGCACUUUGGACUACAAGACCCUUCUUUUGGAUUUUCUCUUUACUCACUUUUCUUUUGGAUUCUAAAGACGCUUUGUCUAGUGAGGUAAAGAAGUGUUCUUUAUGGAUGGUCACUUUCCUUAGCUUGUUAUGGAUAUGGUGUCAUGGACAUUCUUGUUUUGUAUAUAUGCAAAGUGUUUAGCAUGUUUUUUUGCGUACUUUUGUAACCAUGAAUAUAUGGUGUAUACUUUGAAUUAAUAUAUGUAAUAAGACCUUAGAGCUACUUGUUUAUUUUGUUUUCA